UUCAGAUAGGGAUAUCCAUCGACGCACUUCCGGCGGAGACAGAGUGAAACAAACGUAGACGAUUAGAACGCGAACGAUGACGCUCGAAGUCGCCCACGGAGGGCACACCGAUACGUUUACACAAAACGUGCGAGGAAUUUCCAUGCGCCGGAAGAACCGGCGACAGCGGCGCGUAGUACGAGCAGGGAUUGCACAAGAAGCGUUUCAUGAGGUUUACAAUUCACAUUCUCGGCAAUGAACAGCAACAACUGGAGAGGCCUUGCGCGCGCUUUACAUUGAAGUUCGGAUUAAUGAGACAAGUUCGUGCGUGCGUGCGUGCGAAUGAUGCGAGUGUUAACGAGAGAAAUUGCCUGUGCGAUUAAUAUAGAGACCCGAAGCUCCCUCCAUGGGAAUGAGGUGAGGUAAUUACCACUCCACUCUCAGCGGAUGAGCCGCAGACAAGUUAUCGCGAGGUCUCUACUCCCCGGUGGCCGGGAAUUGCACGUCGAGGACAGCCGAUACGCACGGUUCGGUCGCCCGACGAUUAAGGUGCACCGCAAUGCCCGCAAAAUCGGCGAGACCACCGCUUUCGCCGGACUUCCUCGAGCGAAGACGAGUAUACAUGUAUGCGUCUGGGAGGUGGAAGGGCGGCAUUGUGAAACAGGAACGGGAAAUCGGUGUUGAGCUACGAAGUCGGGAGGAUCGUCGACGAAGUUCUCGCAUUCCUUUCUCCUCCUUUCAAUUUGGCUUAAUAGCGCCGACGAAGGUGAUCUCGCCGACAAAUAUAUUGGCCACGAAGGAGAGAAGCGGAUAAGAGAUGCCGGAGGGGACAGGAGAAAAGGGGGAAAACAAGCGUGCGCAACUUGCUGCGGGACUGGUCGCAGACGCGGUCUCGAAGAACAGCAGGAGCCAUCCCGAAGAACGCGAAGACGCGGAUUCGGGAGCUCAGUUCGCCGGGACACGGGUGACCGUCCGGGCGAGUCUCGCAAUUUUUGGAAAGCUGCCGCCGUUGCAUCGGAGCGAACGAAAUCGGUGAAAAUCGCGGCAUGACGAACUGGGUUCGCGCGAGUGAUCCCCGGCCGAUCGAGCAUUCGAUCCUGAAGUCUCGCCAUUUCCAAGGUGGACGGCCCGUGAUCGGACGGAAACGUCCCACGGGAAUUCCAGUAAUUUCCCUCCUCCCCCUCCCCCAGUUUUUCCGGCCCUCCCACGCAGGAGACACAUAGGCCCGGUCUCUGGGAGCCGAUGGCCAACGAGAAGAGAAAGGUGGGAAGCGACGUAAGGAAUAAUUCGCGGGAAGGCGCGCCUACCUGCGACGACGGUCAAGAGGGCGCAGAGAAGCGCCGCUUCCUGGAGCUUCAUCGUAUCGUCGUCGUCGAUUUGUACGUGCGUCGCAGACGCCGAGAUCCUCCUGGGCGACCGCUCGGCGUCUCCCGUCCCGUCUCCGGAUGCUUCCGCGUGCCUUCCUCGGUGCUCGGUGCUUUUCGCUUCAGCUCGCGCGACCGCGACCACGGAGACGUAUCAUCGGCCGAUCGACCACCACCGGGUUGAUCCGCCGUCGCGACACUGCCGGGGGUACCCGCGCGGUGAGGGCCGGUGUGGCACUUCGCGGGAACUGGCAGCGCCGCCGUUCCUCAGCUCAUUGGCUGACCACUUUCUACCGGGUCGCCGAGUGCGAGACGAGAAACCGCUGUCUCUAACGGCCGAUGGGACGCGUCGCCCGCGAGAUCCACGGCGCGAGAUGCCAAUGAAGGAGAGCUUUGACGAAAAUCAAUGUGCAGAAGAGCGUCAAUCUUUUCGCACAAGAAGCGAUUGGAUCAUCG